rnacentral:rRNA from 1 species
CAGCAGCCACGGUAAUACGGAGGGCGCGAGCGUUACCCGGAUUUACUGGGCGUAAAGGGCGUGUAGGCGGCCUGGGGCGUCCCAUGUGAAAGGCCACGGCUCAACCGUGGAGGAGCGUGGGAUACGCUCAGGCUAGAGGGUGGGAGAGGGUGGUGGAAUUCCCGGAGUAGCGGUGAAAUGCGCAGAUACCGGGAGGAACGCCGAUGGCGAAGGCAGCCACCUGGUCCACUUCUGACGCUGAGGCGCGAAAGCGUGGGGAGCAAACCGGAUUAGAUACCCGAGUAGUCCCUGUCUCUUAUAC